AGAAUAUCCUAAAAAAUGAGACUUUUAGUUUCUAAGGCUAUACUAUUCUUCUGCUUCUUCUUUGUGUUUGCAAGUCUAGAGCUCUACUUUGUCUCCCAUUCAACUCCAAAUCCACUCAUUAAAUCCUAAGGAAGGAGAAGCAUGGCAACAUUAGGAGAAGCAUACCAGAUUAUCAAUAUUAACAAGGUUGAUGGCAAGCAAAAAAGAUCUAGAAAGCAAGCAAGUUCAACCAUGAAAGAAUUUGAUGCAACAAGUAAAGACGACGUUUACAACAUUGAUUACCAUGGUGUCAAAACUCACCCGGAUCCAACUCCCAAGCAUCCAUGAAGUUUUUUCGAAUUCCAAUCAAAAGAAUCCAACUUAUGUACCCCUUUGACAUAUAUACCUUUCUUUAUCUUCUUUUUUCUUCACAUUUCUGAUUAAUUAUUAUGAAUAAAGGAAACAUUACGAAUAGGAAACUAUUGUGUACAAAAUGAUCUCAAACUCAAUAUAUUGACAAGAUCCUCGUGU